rnacentral:rRNA from 1 species
AUUGAACGCUGGCGGCAAGCCUAACACAUGCAAGUCGAACGAGUGGCGGACGGGUGAGCAAUGUCUGGGCAACUGCCUGAUGGAGGGGGAAAACUACUGGAAACGGUAGCUAAUACCGCAUACCAUCGGAUGUGCCCAGAGGGGAUUAGCUAGUCGGUGGGGUAAAGGCUCACCUAGGCGACGAUCCCUAGCUGGUCUGAGAGGCUGACCGGCCACACUGGAACUGAGACACGGUCCAGACUCCUACGGGAGGCAGCAGUGGGGAAUAUUGCACAAUGGGCGCAAGCCUGAUGCAGCCAUGCCGCGUGUAUGAAGAAGGCCUUCGGGUUGUAAAGUACUGUCAGCGGGGAGGCGUUACCCGCAGAAGAAGCACCGGCUAACUCCGUGCCAGCAGCCGCGGUAAUAC